UUAAGUUAAUAAGGGCGCACGGUGGAUGCCUUGGCACUAGGAGCCGACGAAGGACGUGACAAACGACGAUAUGCCUUGGGUAGCUGUAAGUAAGCGAUGAUCCAGGGAUUUCCGAAUGGGGGAACCCAACAGGUAAUACCUGUUACCCACAUCUGUUAAGGAUGUGAGGAGGAAGACGCAGUGAACUGAAACAUCUAAGUAGCUGCAGGAAGAGAAAGCAAAAGCGAUUGCCUUAGUAGCGGCGAGCGAAACGGCAGAAGGGCAAACCGAAGAGUUUACUCUUCGGGGUUGUAGGACUGCAAUGUGGACUCAAAGAUUAUAGAAGAAUGAUUUGGGAAGAUCAGCCAAAGAGAGUAAUAGCCUCGUAUUUAAAAUAGUCUUUGUACNNNNNNNNNNNNNNNNNNNNNNNNNNNNNNNNNNNNNNNNNNNNNNNNNNNNNNNNNNNNNNNNNNNNNNNNNNNNNNNNNNNNNNNNNNNNNNNNNNNNNNNNNNNNGCCUACAACAAGUUCGAGCCCGUUAAUGGGUGAGAGCGUGCCUUUUGUAGAAUGAACCGGCGAGUUACGUUAUGAUGCGAGGUUAAGUUGAAGAGACGGAGCCGUAGGGAAACCGAGUCUGAAUAGGGCGCCUUAGUAUCAUGACGUAGACCCGAAACCAUGUGACCUACCCAUGAGCAGGUUGAAGGUGCGGUAAGACGCACUGGAGGACCGAACCAGGGCACGUUGAAAAGUGCUUGGAUGACUUGUGGGUAGCGGAGAAAUUCCAAACGAACUUGGAGAUAGCUGGUUCUCUCCGAAAUAGCUUUAGGGCUAGCGUCGACAUUAGAGAUUCUUGGAGGUAGAGCACUGUUUGGGUGAGGGGUCCAUCCCGGAUUACCAAUCUCAGAUAAACUCCGAAUGCCAAUGAAUUAUGGUCGGCAGUCAGACUGCGAGUGCUAAGAUCCGUAGUCGAAAGGGAAACAGCCCAGACCACCAGCUAAGGUCCCAAAAUAAUUGUUAAGUGGAAAAGGAUGUGGGGUUGCACAGACAACUAGGAUGUUAGCUUAGAAGCAGCUAUUCAUUCAAAGAGUGCGUAAUAGCUCACUAGUCGAGUGACCCUGCGCCGAAAAUGUACCGGGGCUAAAACAAUUUACCGAAGCUGUGGAUACCUUUAUAGGUAUGGUAGGAGAGCGUUCUAUGUGUGAUGAAGGUAUACCGUGAGGAGUGCUGGAACGCAUAGAAGUGAGAAUGCCGGUAUGAGUAGCGAAAGACAGGUGAGAAUCCUGUCCACCGUAAGACUAAGGUUUCCAGGGGAAGGCUCGUCCGCCCUGGGUUAGUCGGGACCUAAGGAGAGACCGAAAGGUGUAUCCGAUGGACAACAGGUUGAUAUUCCUGUACUAGAGUAUGUAGUGAUGGAGGGACGCAGUAGGCUAACUAAAGCAGACGAUUGGAAGAGUCUGUCUAAGCAGUGAGGUGUGAAUUGAGUCAAAUGCUUAAUUCUAUAACAUUGAGCUGUGAUGGGGAGCGAAGUUUAGUAGCGAAGUUAGUGACGUCACACUGCCAAGAAAAGCUUCUAGCGUUUAAACAUACUCUACCCGUACCGCAAACCGACACAGGUAGUCGAGGCGAGUAGCCUCAGGUGAGCGAGAGAACUCUCGUUAAGGAACUCGGCAAAAUGACCCCGUAACUUCGGGAGAAGGGGUGCUGACUUAAAGUCAGCCGCAGUGAAUAGGCCCAAGCAACUGUUUAUCAAAAACACAGCUCUCUGCUAAAUCGUAAGAUGAUGUAUAGGGGGUGACGCCUGCCCGGUGCUGGAAGGUUAAGAGGAGUGCUUAGCGUAAGCGAAGGUAUGAAUUGAAGCCCCAGUAAACGGCGGCCGUAACUAUAACGGUCCUAAGGUAGCGAAAUUCCUUGUCGGGUAAGUUCCGACCCGCACGAAAGGCGUAAUGAUUUGGGCACUGUCUCAACGAGAGACUCGGUGAAAUUUUAGUACCUGUGAAGAUGCAGGUUACCCGCGACAGGACGGAAAGACCCCAUGGAGCUUUACUGCAGUUUGAUAUUGAGUGUCUGUACCACAUGUACAGGAUAGGUAGGAGUCUAAGAGAUCGGGACGCCAGUUUCGAAGGAGACGCUGUUGGGAUACUACCCUUGUGUUAUGGCCACUCUAACCCAGAUAGGUGAUCCCUAUCGGAGACAGUGUCUGACGGGCAGUUUGACUGGGGCGGUCGCCUCCUAAAAGGUAACGGAGGCGCCCAAAGGUUCCCUCAGAAUGGUUGGAAAUCAUUCGCAGAGUGUAAAGGUAUAAGGGAGCUUGACUGCGAGAGCUACAACUCGAGCAGGGACGAAAGUCGGGCUUAGUGAUCCGGUGGUUCCGUAUGGAAGGGCCAUCGCUCAACGGAUAAAAGCUACCCUGGGGAUAACAGGCUUAUCUCCCCCAAGAGUUCACAUCGACGGGGAGGUUUGGCACCUCGAUGUCGGCUCGUCGCAUCCUGGGGCUGUAGUCGGUCCCAAGGGUUGGGCUGUUCGCCCAUUAAAGCGGCACGCGAGCUGGGUUCAGAACGUCGUGAGACAGUUCGGUCCCUAUCCGUCGCGGGCGUAGGAAAUUUGAGAGGAUCUGCUCCUAGUACGAGAGGACCAGAGUGGACUUACCGCUGGUGUACCAGUUGUCUUGCCAAAGGCAUCGCUGGGUAGCUAUGUAGGGAAGGGAUAAACGCUGAAAGCAUCUAAGUGUGAAACCCACCUCAAGAUGAGAUUUCCCAUGAUUAUAUAUCAGUAAGAGCCCUGAGAGAUGAUCAGGUAGAUAGGUUAGAAGUGGAAGUGUGGCGACACAUGUAGCGGACUAAUACUAAUAGCUCGAGGACUUAUCCAA
rnacentral:rRNA from 1 species